GGUGGCGGUGUGGCCCAGCCUGGUCACAGUGUGAGCGGUCAGCAGAAGAAGAGGACCGUCGCAGCGCGGUGAAAAGCGGAUCGCUCCCUCUCUCCUUUCUCAUUCGACCUGCAGCUCCACGCAGCAGCCAUUUGAUAUCAGUCGGGGAGAAGCAAGUCGUAAGAUGUCGGACGAGGGGAAAUUGUUCAUCGGGGGCCUCAGCUUCGAGACCAACGAGGAUUCUUUGGCGGCGGCCUUCGGAAAAUACGGAACCAUCGAAAAAGUGGACGUGAUCAGAGACAAAGAGACGGGAAGAUCUCGCGGUUUCGGCUUCGUGAAAUAUGAUAAUGCUGAAGAUGCUAAAGAUGCACUGGACGCCAUGAACGGCAAGACCCUUGAUGGUCGGGCCAUUCGGGUGGAUGAAGCAGGAAAAGGUGGACGAUUCAGGGGAGGAGGAUCGCAGCAGCAAGGGGGACGAUUCGGCAGUUCCAGAGGGCGAGGUGGUCGCGGUUACUCAAGAGGUGGAUACAACGGCGGCAACAGGAGCUAUGGAGACAGAGGCUAUGACAGAGGCUUCGGAAGUGGUGGUGGAGACAGGAGCUUUGGUGGUGGUGGUGGUGGAGGAUACAGGAGUGGUGGAUACUCGGGUGGCUACAGAGAAAAUAGGUAAGGGUCAGGGCGGAUAUGACCGCGGUGGAUCCUACCGCGAUGCAUACGACAGCUAUGCUGGGCACGAGUAAACAUCUCCCUGAUUCAAGAUCAUCACUUGGCUGGCUGUAUUUCAAAGAUGCGCUCCUCAAGAAAAAUGUCCACGUGUUAUUGCUGACCUUAGUUUUGUAGUUCUGUUGUAGUAGUUCAGCAUUUAAAAAAAAAAAAAAAAUGUAGCCAUGAGUUUUGGUCAUUCCUUAACAAACCAUGUUGCAAAUUACAGGUCAAGAAUCUUACCUUGCUUAUCGGGCAUCUUAAUUCCUCAAAAAAAUCAUUUAACUAAAAGGCAUCUCUGUAAUCUGAUUAGUAAAGUCCCAAUUUGGGGUCAAACAAUGGCUCUCCACAUGGCUUUUCGUUGAACAGCCACAACCGCCGCUGUAGACUUUUUGUCCAGCACGUUAAAGUGUUUCCUGAUUUUGAUUCCUUUUUUUCUUCAGUUUUUUUAUAUUGAAGUAUCUGAUGGGGCUUGUUUUGUGUUUUUGUUACCUUAUUAUCCCUCUCAGUCUUUGCGACUGACCUACCUCCUGCCAGGUUUUAUACUGACUGAGGAAAGAGAUCCAUUUACUCUUAAACAGACUUUUUUGGGGGAUUUUAUGCUAAAUUCCUUUUUACUCUUUAAAAAAACCUUAGUUUAGCUGAGGCUCCUGUAUGUUCAAUUUCCCAAUAGAGUGAAUUCCUUUCAGACUGGUGAACUACACAUCCGAAGUGGCCGGCUGUUCAUGAAGUUGCAAAUUGCAGCAUGCUACAGUCUGUCCAAGGUAUCUUCUGUGCUCUGCUCAACAUCUGCAUUUUAAAUGUGCUGUAAAAUGGACUAAUCUUGUUUAAAGUGAUCGAAAAAUGUAACUUCGUUUCCCCAAAGUAAUAUCUCAACCGGGAACAGUUUUGUACUUUAUGUUCUUUGUAUGAUCAACAUUUUUUUUCUUUGUCAGUUUGGCUUCAUGGAGCCUAUUAAACAGACUGUGGAAAAUAA